AGAGUUUGAUCCUGGCUCAGGACGAACGCUGGCGGCGUGCUUAACACAUGCAAGUCGAACGGAAAGGCCCUGCUUUUGUGGGGUGCUCGAGUGGCGAACGGGUGAGUAACACGUGAGUAACCUGCCCUUGACUUUGGGAUAACUUCAGGAAACUGGGGCUAAUACCGGAUAGGAGCUCCUGCUGCAUGGUGGGGGUUGGAAAGUUUCGGCGGUUGGGGAUGGACUCGCGGCUUAUCAGCUUGUUGGUGGGGUAGUGGCUUACCAAGGCUUUGACGGGUAGCCGGCCUGAGAGGGUGACCGGCCACAUUGGGACUGAGAUACGGCCCAGACUCCUACGGGAGGCAGCAGUGGGGAAUAUUGCACAAUGGGCGGAAGCCUGAUGCAGCAACGCCGCGUGCGGGAUGACGGCCUUCGGGUUGUAAACCGCUUUCGCCUGUGACGAAGCGUGAGUGACGGUAAUGGGUAAAGAAGCACCGGCUAACUACGUGCCAGCAGCCGCGGUGAUACGUAGGGUGCGAGCGUUGUCCGGAUUUAUUGGGCGUAAAGGGCUCGUAGGUGGUUGAUCGCGUCGGAAGUGUAAUCUUGGGGCUUAACCCUGAGCGUGCUUUCGAUACGGGUUGACUUGAGGAAGGUAGGGGAGAAUGGAAUUCCUGGUGGAGCGGUGGAAUGCGCAGAUAUCAGGAGGAACACCAGUGGCGAAGGCGGUUCUCUGGGCCUUUCCUGACGCUGAGGAGCGAAAGCGUGGGGAGCGAACAGGCUUAGAUACCCUGGUAGUCCACGCUGUAAACGGUGGGUACUAGGUGUGGGGUCCAUUCCACGGGUUCCGUGCCGUAGCUAACGCUUUAAGUACCCCGCCUGGGGAGUACGGCCGCAAGGCUAAAACUCAAAGGAAUUGACGGGGCCCCGCACAAGCGGCGGAGCAUGCGGAUUAAUUCGAUGCAACGCGUAGAACCUUACCUGGGUUUGACAUGGAUCGGGAGUGCUCAGAGAUGGGUGUGCCUCUUUUGGGGUCGGUUCACAGGUGGUGCAUGGCUGUCGUCAGCUCGUGUCGUGAGAUGUUGGGUUAAGUCCCGCAACG
rnacentral:rRNA from 1 species